rnacentral:rRNA from 1 species
UGCAGUCGAACGAGAGGCUCUUCGGAGUAGUACAGUGGCGAACGGGUGAGUAAGACAUGGGUAAUCUACCUUUGAGCGGGGGAUAACCAGCCGAAAGGCUGGCUAAUACCCCAUACGCUUCCGGUCCUUCGGGUAAGGAAGGAAAGCUGCAUCGUGGAUGUGGCACUCGAAGAUGGGCUCAUGGCCUAUCAGCUUGUUGGUGGGGUAAUGGCCUACCAAGGCAACGACGGGUAGCUGGUCUGAGAGGACGAUCAGCCACACUGGCACUGAGACACGGGCCAGACUCCUACGGGAGGCAGCAGUGAGGAAUAUUGCGCAAUGGGCGAAAGCCUGACGCAGCGACGCCGCGUGGGGGAAGAAGGGUUUCGGAUUGUAAACCCCUUUUAGGAGGAAAGAUGGGGUGGUUCGCCACCCGGACGGUACCUCCAGAAAAAGCCACGGCUAACUUCGUGCCAGCAGCCGCGGUAAUACGAAGGUGGCGAGCGUUGUUCGGAUUUACUGGGCGUAAAGAGCACGUAGGCGGUUUAGUAAGCCCCUUGGGAAAGCUACGGGCUUAACCCGUAAAGGUCGAGGGGGACUGCUAAGCUAGAGGGCGGGAGAGGAGCGCGGAAUUUCCGGUGUAGCGGUGAAAUGCGUAGAUAUCGGGAAGAAGGCCGGUGGCGAAGGCGGCGCUCUGGAACGUCUCUGACGCUGAGGUGCGAAAGCGUGGGGAGCAGACAGGAUUAGAUACCCUGGUAGUCCACGCCGUAAACGAUGGGCACUAAGUGUCGGCAGGUUACUGCCGGUGCCGCAGUUAACGCAGUAAGUGCCC